CAGGCAAGAAUACAAUUUGUGGCAAGGAGAAGAUCUUCCUGGCGGCUUCCAGAACACAGGCAUCUGGGAAGAUGAGAAUCUGAAGGAAGACAGAUUCGCCCUUGAAAACAUCUACAGCCAUUUCCAGCCCUCUCUGGAGAACGUUGACCCUACUACAGAGCUCCACAUCCAGAGGCCCAGGGUCCUGACAACUGCUCAGUGAGUGAGACAAGAGGCUCCCACCGCUCAUCCAGAUUUGGACAAGACAGCAGAUAAGAGCCCACGACAGCGCUACUCCCCACCUCCCCUGUUGGUCCAAAGGAAACUGACAUCAGGGCCUGAGGUGGCCCGGUUCAGAGCUGGUGGGCUUGGUCUGGGCCCUGCUGUGAACCCCCCUCUGCUUUCUCACACUCCGUCCAGGAGCCCAAGGGCUGCCCAGACACCCUGACAUCAUUGUUUGCUCCAGAGACGCCCCACUCUGGAA